CCGCCUUCCAAGCCUGUGUCUGUUGGUUAUACGGUCACCACGAGUUUCUCUGUCGCCGUCCAAGCUGCCACCAGAAGGAUCCACCACAGCCUCCUCUGUUCUUGUCUUCGAAUUAGAACUGCCCUUUUCCACUGAAUAUGUCUGUUUGAAAAAUUAAAAUGGGUGCUGCUGCCACCGGUUCGGUCACAUUGGAAUCACUGCUGCUGCCAUAAAACAGAAAGGGAAGGGAGUUACUAUGUUUAACCUGUGUGAAUUCAACUAGUUGAGGAACCGGAUGAAGAAGCAUUAAGAAGAGUUAUACUGCGUCUGGUUUAUAAGAUGUUGUAUUAAUUAGAUGUUUUCUCCCCUCGUCUUUGUUAUUACAAGUGUGUAAGAGGGAUAGGAAUUGUAUGUUUUAUAUGUAUAUUAUAUUAUGAGUUAUUAUGUAAAGAGUCUUGUAUAUGAAUCUAUGCCUGUUUGUAUUUUUCUUAAGAUAAAGUGUGUAUUUUUUUUGGUUCUUUUGAAGAAAUCAGCGAUACAGUGUCAGGCCACAGGCUCCUAUUUUAGUAUUUCGUAUGUAAAGUAGUCGUAAUACUUCUUCCUAUCAGAGUGGCGCAGCCGGAAGCGUGAGUUCUGAUA